rnacentral:rRNA from 1 species
CAAGAGAUCUAGGUUACGUCUAAGGAAAAAAGAAAAGUCCAGGGAAUCUUGAAUGCUUCUUCUAAGAUUUGUUUCUUGGUGGUUAACGGUCAAUCAUUCUUGGUUAUAGACGGUUCUCUGUUAAAUCUCUUCUGGUUUG